rnacentral:misc_RNA from 1 species
CAACCCUCAAGCUUCUUGCUUGGUAUUGGGCUUUUCGUCCGCCUUAAGGACGUGCCUGAAACUCAUAGGCGGUUAUACCCAACUCCCUUGCGUAGUUAUUUUAUUUUUCUCGCUCUGGGUGAUUUUUUUUGGGUGUGACUCGCCUGAGAACCUCUUUUAUUCUUUUUAAAG